rnacentral:rRNA from 1 species
AGUGAACGCUGGCGGCAUGCCUAACACAUGCAAGUCGAACGGCAGCACCGUAAGCUCUUGCUCUUCCGGGUGGCGAGUGGCGGGCGUGUGACGAGUACAUCGGCAUCUUCUUUUUCGUGGGUGAUCACGUAGGGCCGCUUACACUACUACCGCAUACUAUCUACCGGUGAGAUCAGGGGAUCUUCGCACCUUUCGCGUUUGUAUUAGCCGGUGUCGCAUGAGCUAGUUGGGUGGGUAAAGGCUCACCAAGGCGACGAUCCGUAGCUGAGCUGAGAGGAUGAUAGGCCACACUGGAACUGAGACACGGUCCAGACUCCUACGGGAGGCAGCAGUGGGGAAUAUUGGGCAAUGGGCGCAAGCCUGACCCAGCCAUACCGCGUGGGUGAAGAAGGCCUUCGGGUUGUAAAGCCCUGUUGUUGGGAAAGAAAAGCAGUAGGUUAAUACGCCGCUGUCCUGACGGUACCCAAUGAAUAAGCACCGGCUAACUACGUG